rnacentral:antisense_RNA from 1 species
CUUCAACGACCCCAGCCAGAGCGGCUGUUCGGCGGGGCGGCCCUGUCCGUAGGUGGCGAUGACGGCCUGCGCCUC